GUGUCCGAGUUGUAAUUUGAAGAAGGUAACUUUGGAGUUGGCUCUUGUCUAUGUUCCUUGGAACAGGACGUCACAGAGGGUGAGAAUCCCGUGCGAUGAGAUGCCCAAUUCUAUGUAAAGUGCUUUCGAAGAGUCGAGUUGUUUGGGAAUGCAGCUCUAAGUGGGUGGUAAAUUCCAUCUAAAGCUAAAUAUUGGCGAGAGACCGAUAGCGAACAAGUACAGUGAUGGAAAGAUGAAAAGAACUUUGAAAAGAGAGUGAAAAAGUACGUGAAAUUGUUGAAAGGGAAGGGCUUGAGAUCAGACUUGGUAUUUUGCGAUCCUUUCCUUCUUGGUUGGGUUCCUCGCAGCUUACUGGGCC
rnacentral:rRNA from 1 species